rnacentral:tRNA from 1 species
AGUAUUGCGCCGGGUUGAACGGGCUAUGUUGAUGUUGUAGAAUACGGAAUAAUUAAAGUUCUCAAUACUA